rnacentral:rRNA from 1 species
AGUGAAUAGAUACCCGGGUAGUCCACGCCGUAAACUAUGGAUGCUAGCUGUUAGAGGUAUCGACCCCUCUAGUAGCGAAAGCUAACGCGUUAAGCAUCCCGCCUGUGGAGUACGGUCGCAAGACUAAAACAUAAAGGAAUUGACGGGGACCCGCACAAGCGGUGGAGCGUGUUGUUUAAUUCGAUGGUAAGCGAAGAACCUUACCCAGGCUUGACAUCCUUGGAAUUUUGGCGAAAGCCGAGAGUGCCUUCGGGAACCAAGUGACAGGUGUUGCAUGGCCGUCGUCAGCUCGUGUCGUGAGAUGUUUGGUUAAGUCCAUCAACGAGCGCAACCCUUAUAGUUAGUUGAAUUUUUCUAGCUAGACUGCCCUGGCAACAGGGAGGAAGGAGGGGAUGAUGUCAGGUCAGUAUUACCCUUACGUCUGGGGCUACAAACACGCUACAAUGGCCGGUACAAAGGGCAGCCAAGUCGCGAGACGGAGCAAAUCCCAUCAAAGCCGGUCUAAGUUCGGAUAGCAGGCUGAAACUCGCCUGCUUGAAGCUGGAA